GUCCCUGUAGCACAAUGGUUAGUGCGUUGGAUUUCUAACCCAAAGUCCGUGGGUUCGAAUCCUACCUGGGAUG